GACGUAGGAUGCAAGUGUUAUCCGGAAUCACUGGGCGUAAAGCGUCUGUAGGUGGUUUAAUAAGUCAACUGUUAAAUCUUGAGGCUCAACCUCAAAAUCGCAGUCGAAACUAUUAGGCUAGAGUAUAGUAGGGGUAAAGGGAAUUUCCAGUGGAGCGGUGAAAUGCGUAGAGAUUGGAAAGAACACCGAUGGCGAAGGCACUUUACUGGGCUAUUACUAACACUGAGAGACGAAAGCGAGGGUAGCAAAUGGG
rnacentral:rRNA from 1 species